AGUAAGUUUGAGGCCGACUUAGGCUACUUGAGACCGUCUCUCUCAAAUUAAAAAAAAAAAAAAGAAUUUGAAUUCCUGGCUUUUUUCUUCAAAGAUUUGAACACAAAUUUCUGCAAGAUAAAUGACUGAUGUAAACAGUGGCUUCUGCCCCUAACAGGCACAGCUAUUUGUCACCACCUCAGAAGCUGUUUGACUACAGAUGAGGAAGGCCACCUGCCCAUGUGGGAGGGAUGCUCGUGACCAGAACCUGCCUGAGCAUUUAGCCUGACCUUGUGUGCCAGGCUGGCGUCUGAUACAGGAAGUGCAAUUUCCUGACUCACUCUCUAGAAGGGACACGCCCCAUGGUCCUGACUGGGAAACUUUGGAGAUGUGAUGCUGGCCUUUGCCUGCUGACUGUGGACUUGAAGGUGGAGUCAUUUAAGGAAGGAUUAGCAGAGGAUGGAGCUGUUGUCAUUAGGAUGCCACACGUGACAAACUCGACAUGACCGCCCACCUCUUGGAUGACUCAUGGGCCUAAAGCAUGAUUAACUUGGAGGGUGGGCAAGCAGGUAUUGGGUUCUUCUGUAGGGUGGAGCUGAAUCCCUUCCUCCCCCUCUUAGCCCCCACGGCUCCUGUUCCAAAGAUUUCAGGCACUUGUGGACCUGCGAAGUCUCUGUUGGCCCUUGUCAUUGAAUGGCUCAAUGAAGCGGCACUUGUGCCUGAAAGCAAGGCUUUUCAGAUUCUGGAUGCUCUUUGGCUGCCUCAGUAUUAUCCAGGGGUCACGAAGCAGUUGAAACAGUGGCCAGCAAGGGGGACAGCUGGAUUGGCUCAGCCUCCCUCUCCUGAUGGGGCACAUUCCUGGCACCAUCACCAGGUCUGGCGUGUGGAUUGGCGUGUGGGUGACGCUACACGAGGGUCUUUCUCCCACACCUCAUGCAUCACGUGUGAUAGGGUAAUGGCGGGUGGGGGGGUGUCCUGGUUGCCAUUCCUUUGUAGGCCACAUCAAAGCAACAGCUAUUAUCCCGCAUGGUAAGUUAAUGUCCAUCCCAAUGUAAGCAUUGUUUUAUCCCCUUUAUAUUAUUACAUGAAGCACUGGCUUAUACAUUAUGUAUGGGACAUCAAACAUCCUGUGUAAUCUUAUUUGAGUGUGAAUAGAACCUAUGUUUUAAUAAUAACCAGCAUUUUUACUAUGUG